rnacentral:rRNA from 1 species
GACGAACGCUGGCGGCGUGCUUAACACAUGCAAGUCGAGCGGUAAGGCCCUUUCGGGGGUACACGAGCGGCGAACGGUGAGUAACACGUGGGUGACCUGCCCUCCAGCUCUGGGAUAAGCCUGGGAAACCGGGUCUAAUACUGGAUAUGACUCCAUGACGCAUGUUGUGGGGUGGAAAGCCUUGUGCGGCUGAGGAUGGGCCCGCGGCCUAUCAGCUUGUUGGUGGGGUGGAUGGCCUACCAAGGCGACGACGGGUAGCCGGCCUGAGAGGGCGACCGGCCACACUGGGACUGAGACACGGCCCAGACUCCUACGGGAGGCAGCAGUGGGGAAUCUUGCGCAAUGGGCGAAAGCCUGACGCAGCGACGCCGCGUGAGGGAUGACGGCCUGGU